rnacentral:rRNA from 1 species
GGCCUAACACAUGCAAGUCGAACGCCCUCUUCCGAUGGAGUGGCAGACGGGUGAGUAACGCGUGGGAACCUACCUAGUAGUACGGAAUAACUCAGGGAAACUUGUGCUAAUACCGUAUACGCCCUUCGGGGGAAAGAUUUAUCGCUAUUGGAUGGGCCCGCGUUGGAUUAGCUAGUUGGUGAGGUAACGGCUCACCAAGGCUACGAUCCAUAGCUGGUCUGAGAGGAUGAUCAGCCACACUGGGACUGAGACACGGCCCAGACUCCUACGGGAGGCAGCAGUGGGGAAUAUUGGACAAUGGGGGAAACCCUGAUCCAGCCAUGCCGCGUGAGUGAAGAAGGCCCUAGGGUUGUAAAGCUCUUUCGCUAGGGAAGAUAAUGACGGUACCUAUUAAAGAAGCCCCGGCUAACUUCGUGCCAGCAGCCGCGGUAAUA